GACGAACGCUGGCGGCGUGCCUAACACAUGCAAGUCGAGCGGGGACUUCGGUCCUAGCGGCGGACGGGUGAGUAACACGUGGGUAACCUGCCUUGUAGAGGGGGAUAGCCUUCCGAAAGGAAGAUUAAUACCGCAUAACAUCAAGAUAUCGCAUGAUAUUUUAAUUAAAGGAGCAAUCCGCUACAAGAUGGACCCGCGGCGCAUUAGCUAGUUGGUGAGGUAACGGCUCACCAAGGCAACGAUGCGUAGCCGGCCUGAGAGGGUGAACGGCCACAUUGGAACUGAGACACGGUCCAGACUCCUACGGGAGGCAGCAGUGGGGAAUAUUGCACAAUGGGCGAAAGCCUGAUGCAGCAACGCCGCGUGAGUGAUGAAGGCCUUCGGGUUGUAAAGCUCUGUCUUCUGGGACGAUAAUGACGGUACCAGAGGAGGAAGCCACGGCUAACUACGUGCCAGCCGCCGCGGUAAGAC
rnacentral:rRNA from 1 species